rnacentral:rRNA from 1 species
ACACGUAGGGGGCGAGCGUUGUUCGGAAUCAUUGGGCAUAAAGGGCGCGCAGGCGGCCAUGUAAGUCUGGUGUAAAAUGGUUGUGCUCAACACAAUCAUGCGCUGGAAACUGUAUGGCUAGAGUCAACGAGGGGAUGCCGGAAUUCCAGGUGUAGGGGUGAAAUCUGUAGAUAUCUGGAAGAACACCGAUGGCGAAGGCAGGCAUCUGGCGACUGACUGACGCUGAGGCGCGAAGGUGCGGGGAGCAAACAGGUUUAGAUACCCUGGUAGUCCGCACAGUAAACGAUGUGCACCAGGUGGCGGGCAGCAGUGCUCGGUACCGAAGCAAACGCAUUAAGUGCACCGCCUGGGGAGUAUGCCCGCAAGGGUGAAACUCAAAUGAAUUGACGGGG